rnacentral:tRNA from 1 species
GUCCCUAUAGCUCAACGGAUAGAGUACAGGUUUGCGGAACCUGCGAUCAAGGUUCGAUUCCUUGUGGGGACA